AUUUAUACAUGAAUAAUUGUGGUAAUGUUAUUUGUUCCUUUCUCUUCUCAUUGCAAGUACACAAGCCUUUACCUUGGUUUGGAGAGUUUUGCAAAUGUUUUCAAAUGAUCUAAAUCCUAUGAAGCAUUUCUGUAGUUGCUUAAGAGAACCCAGGGCAAUUGCAGCAAGCAUUUUGUGCUGCAUGAGCCUUGCUGUGAUUCCACUGGGCGACAAGAGUGGAAACUGGAAGCCAUUGUUGCACCCGGCACACUGACCACUGGCCGGAACCUUGCAUUGUUCAGACAAGACUUCAAGG
rnacentral:lncRNA from 1 species